rnacentral:rRNA from 1 species
UACAGAGGGGGCAAGCGUUAUUCGGAAUUAUUGGGCGUAAAGGGCGCGUAGGCGGCCUGGCAAGUGGAAGGUGAAAUCCCUCGGCUUAACCGAGGAACUGCCCUCCAAACUGCUUGGCUUGAGUCCGGGAGAGGUGAGUGGAAUUCCCAGUGUAGCGGUGAAAUGCGUAGGUAUUGGGAGGAACACCAGUGGCGAAGGCGGCUCACUGGACCGGAACUGACGCUGAGGCGCGAAAGCGUGGGGAGCAAACAGG